CAGACAACGUGCUGUGUGUGUGCAAGUGCAUGUAUUUAUGUGGACAGAGUGUGCAACUCUGCACAGAGGAAGGAAGGAAGUCACAAGAUGAUGGGGAUUUCAAAACUGAGCUACAGCUGUUGGAGGUGAUGGAUGCCCCGGCUGUCCGUUCUCUCCCCGGAGUGGAGGUGGGUGCAAGGUGAUGAUGUCGUCGUCCUCCGGAGGCUUCCAUAUGUACUGCUCUCCAUUGCCUAUGAACACCGUUUCCUGAUAAACAAAGUCAAAUGAUGAGCUUCAUAAAGUGCUGCUGUGAGGUUAGAAUCUGUGAGCCAUUGUGCAAAGGUACUCAUGCAAAUAAAAGCUCUAAUGUUUUAAUAUUUCCCCCUGUAUGAGUUAAAAGCAGAUGAACAAAAAUAAGUGAAUUAUUCAUGUGUGUUUCCAAGGAAUGGGCCAGUUUCCAGGAGUCAGUCCUGGAUUGUAUGGACCCAAAGUUGGAUUGGAUCAGGGAAACCUCAGACUAUGACUAGUUCCUAUUUUGUAUCAUCUGGAUUUGGAUGUUUAUGGAUUGGACAUUUAACAUUGUAAAUAUGAAGAUUGAUAAUUGGAAAUAAAGAUAGGUAAAGUCUAUUAUUCUAUUAAAAUUAGAAAAUCAAGAAGGUAAAAUAUUCUGUGCAAUAAGAACCUUGAUUUAAAAACUACGACUGAAUUCAGGUUUAGUCUAUAUUUUGCUUAAUUCUUUGCAUUAAACUCAAAAAUAACAUAAAUGUUAUAGACAACAAUAUAAUAACUAGCAACAUAUUUCUCUUAGCAGCAGGAACAUUUCUUGUUCUUUCUAAAAACCAAAAGCUUAUGCAAUAUUAUUUUGAAUUUUUGCUGUUAUAACCACAAUACUCUAAAAACAACACUUUGAAACUCAGUUCCAGGCUUCACUUGCCCUGCAGGAUCAUUUUGACUGGAAAGCUUUGAAGAAAUAGUGAAAUCAUAACUUUUUAGCUAAAUAUAGUACAUCCAUCCAUCAUUUUACACGCUCAGCCCUAUUGGGAUUAAAAAGGGUGCUGGUGACUAUCUCCUGAGAACAAUGGGCGAGAGGCAGGGUACACCCUGGUCAGAUGGCCAGUCCAUCACAGGCUAAACAUACACUAUGACAUAAUCUCAAAUGCCAUGAAAUAAUGGCCUUUUGGACAAAAGGUUGGUUAUUUAAAUGACGAUCAAACAAAUAACAAAACAAAUUGACAACUCUUUUUGACAACAAGCAGGUGCUCUGACAUCAGUUAAAACCUGAAAUUAGCUGUCCUCUACUUCGUGGCUCUUCAGAUGGAGAUUUCAGAGUAAGCUCUGUGUAGUCAUAAAAACAAUAUUAAAUUAUUGAAUCAC